rnacentral:rRNA from 1 species
GACGAACGCUGGCGGCGUGCUUAACACAUGCAAGUCGAACGGAAAGGCCUGCUUUCCCUUGUGGAUUGCGGGUACUCGAGUGGCGAACGGGUGAGUAACACGUGAGUGAUCUGCCCCCAACUUGGGUAUAAGCCUGGGAAACUGGGUCUAAUUCCCGAUAGGACUGCAGGGUGGUGCCUGUGGUGGAAAACGAUUUUCUAGUGGUUGGGGAUGAGCUCGCGGCCUAUCAGCUUGUUGGUGGGUAAUGGCCUACCAAGGCGGCGACGGGUAGCCGGCCUGAGAGGGUGGACCGCCACAUUGGGACUGAGAUACGGCCCAGACUCCUACGGGAGGCAGCAGUGGGGAAUAUUGCACAAUGGGCGGAAGCCUGAUGCAGCGACGCCGCGUGGGGGAUGACGGCCUUCGGGUUGUAAACUCCUUUCGACCGCGAGGAAGCCACCUGGUUGGAAGGGUGGUGACGGUAGUGGUAGAAGAAGCACCGGCUAACUACGUG